rnacentral:lncRNA from 1 species
AGGGAUUGUUAUGCCAAGGUCGUGGAGUCCCCAGAGACCACCAGAGACCACCAGAAGUCCAACUCAUAUGCAAAAGCAAAGAGUCUUUAUUCAAGCUCAUGCUCAGACCCUCUGGUCUCUCCAGUGGACUGAAAGGUCCUGAGCAGCAUGUGGGACCCGAGGGAUCAAACUCAGCAUUAGCAGCAAGAAUGGCCACCGACCCAUUGUGCUGGCUCUAAAUGUAUCCUUUAUAGUCUGAGUUCUUUAGUCAGGGCAAUACCUUUGAAGUUCAGAUUCACUGCAGCAUCAGAAAACAAUUUAUUUUUAAAAUAAUGCUUAUCUUAUUUUUAUGUAUAUGGAUGUCUUACCUGCAUGCAUGUCUGUGCACCACACGUGUGCCAGGUGCCUGCAGAGGUCAGAAGAGCCUACAGUUGGUUAUGAGGUGCUAUGCGGGUGCUGGGAACUGAACCUGGGUUCUUUAGAAGAGCAGCUUGUAUUAAAAACAAUGACUUCAUGAAAUUCGCAGGCAAAUGGAUGGAACUUAAAAAUAUCAUCCUGAGUGAGGCGACUCAGUCACAAAAGAACACACACAGUAUGCACUCACUGUUAAGUGGAUAUUAGCCCAGAAGUUCGGAAUACCCAAGAUUCAAUUCACAGACCAUAUGAAACCUAAGAAAAAGGAAGGCCAAAAUGUGGGUGCUUUAGUGCUUUUUAGAAGGGGAAACAAAAUACUCACAGGAGGAAAUAUGGGGAUAAAGUGUGGAGCAGAGACUAAAGGAAAGACCAUCCAGAGACUGCCCCACCUGUGGAUCCAUCCCACAUAGAGUCAACAAACCCAGAUGCUAUUGUGGAUGCCAGGAAGUGCUUGCUGGUGGGAGCCUGAUAUGGCUGUCUCCUAAGAAGCUGUCACUGCCUGACAAAUACAGAGGAGGAAGCUCGCAGCCAACCAUUGGGCUGAGCGCAGGGUCUCAGAUCGAGGAGUUGGAGAAGGGACUGAAGGAGCUGAGGGGGUUUGUAGCCCCAUGGGGGGGGGGAGAAACAGUGUCAACCGGCCAGACCCCCCAGAUUUCCUGGGGUCUGGACCAUCAACCAAAGAGUAUACAUGGAGGGACCCCUGGCUCCAGCCGCAUAUGUGUCAGAGGAUGGCCUUGUUGGGCAUUAGUGGGAGG